rnacentral:rRNA from 1 species
AUACGUAGGGGGCGAGCGUUGUCCGGAAUGAUUGGGCGUAAAGGGCGCGUAGGCGGCGCGGUAAGUCUGGAGUGAAAGUCCUGCUUUCAAGGUGGGAAUUGCUUUGGAUACUGCCGCGCUUGAGUGCAGGAGAGGCUAUCGGAAUUCCCGGUGUAGCGGUGAAAUGCGUAGAAAUCGGGAGGAACACCAGUGGCGAAGGCGGGUAACUGGACUGCAACUGACGCUGAGGCGCGAAAGUGUGGGGAGCAAACAGGAUUAGAUACCCUGGUAGUCCACACUGUAAACGAUGAAUACUAGGUGUAGGGGGUAUCGACUCCCUCUGUGCCGCAGUUAACACAAUAAGUAUUCCGCCUGGGGAGUACGGCCGCAAGGUUGAAACUUAAAGGAAUUGACGGGG